AAAGGAAUAGACGGGGACCUGCACAAGCGGUGGAACAUGUGGUUUAAUUCGACGAUAAACGAGGAACCUUACCCAGGCUAGAAGCCACUGGAACCCUGAUGAAAGUUAGGGGUGCCGCAAGGAGCCAGUGGACAGGUGCUGCAUGGUUGCCGUCAGCUCGUGCCGUGAGGUGUUCGGUUAAGUCCAGCAACGAGCGCAACCCUUGUCGAAUGUUGUAUUUCUCAUUCGAUACUGCCCGAGUUAAUUGGGAGGAAGGUGGGGACGACGUCAAAUCAGCAUGGCCCUAGACGCCUGGGGCUACACACAUGUUACAAUGGCAGUUACAAUGGGCCGCCAAGUCGAAAGACGGAGCUAAUCCCAUCAAAGGCUGUCUCAGUUCGGAUUGAGGGCUGCAACUCGCCCUCAUGAAGCCGGAAUCGCUAGUAAUCGUGAAUCAGCUAUGUCACGGUGAAUACGUUCUCAGGUCUUGUACACACCGCCCGU
rnacentral:rRNA from 1 species